CCGAGUUCAUGCCCUCACGGGUAGAUCUCCCACCCUAUGUUAUCAUUACCUUCGUUGCUUUGGCGGGCCGUCAGGCUUCGGCUAGGCUAUCGGCUCCGGCUGGUAAGCGCCCGCCAGAGGACCCUCAACUCUGAAUAUCAGUGUCGUCCGAGUACUAUAAAAUAGUUA
rnacentral:misc_RNA from 1 species